GGCUUUGUUUAGUGGCAGUAUCAUAAUCAGUGAAGUUUAUCUGAGGUUUGAUUAUUAUUAAUUGAGAACUUUCCUCGGUACCCAAUAUAGUUGUCAUUAGCAAUUGUUGACAUGCUCUACAGCA
rnacentral:snRNA from 1 species